rnacentral:rRNA from 1 species
UUUUUUUUUAUAAAUUUUAAUUUUUUUAUUUUAAUCAAUUUUUUUAGUAUUUUAUUAAAAUAAUUUUAUAUUUUUAAUUCUGUUAAGUUUUUUAUUAAUAAAUUUAGUAUAAUUAUGUAGUACCUUUUGUAUCAGGUUAAAUUUAAUUUUUUAUUUAUAUUAUUUCCCCGAAAAUAAGAUAUCUAAUUUAUUUUUUUUUUUAUUGUUGAAUUAAUAUUCAUAAAUAUAUUUUAGUAGUUAAAUUCUAAUCGUUCUUUUUUAUAUCUGGUUAUUUAGGAAUUCAAUUUAAUUGAUGAUUAAAUCAAAAUUAUUUAAUCUUAUAUAAUUUGGGAUAAUCUUUAUUAUUUUUUAUAAUUUAAUUAUUAAAAUAUUUAUUUAUUUUAAAAUCUUUUAUUAAGUUCUUAAUAGAUUAAUAUUUAUUUUUUAAAAUUUUAUUUUAUUUAUAUUUUUACUAAAUUAAUUUAUUAAAUAUUAAUUUCAAUAAAAUAAUGAUUUAAUUAGUAUAAUUUAUAAUUAAUUUAUAAUUAACUCGACAAAUUUAAUCUUCAACUGUUUAUCAAAAACAUUUCUUUUAGAUUUUAAAUUAAAGGUAAAUUCUGCCCUAUGAUAUAUUUUUAAAUGGCUGCAGUAUAUUGACUGUGCAAAGGUAGCAUAAUCAUUAGUCAUUUAAUUGUUGACUUGUAUGAAUGGAUAAAUGAGGGAUUAAUUUUUUUUAAUUUAUUUUUAAAAUUUUAUUUUUAGGUAAAAAAGCUUUAAUUUUUUUUUAGGGACGAUAAGACCCUAUAGAACUUUAUUAUAAUAAGUAUACUUAAUUUUUUGGUUAAAAUUAUAUUAUAAUAUUUUAUUAUUUUUUUAUUGGGGUGAUAAAUAAAUUUUUAACUUUAUUUUUUUAAUUCAUUAAUUUAUGAUUUUUUUGAUCCAAAAUUUUAGAUUAAAAGUCUGAGUUACCUUAGGGAUAACAGCGUAAUUUUAAUGGGGAGUUCAUAUUUAUAUUAAAGUUUGCGACCUCGAUGUUGAAUUAAGAUAAGUUUGGGGGGUAGAUUUUUCAUUACUAAGUCUGUUCGACUUUUAAAUUCUUACAUGAUUUGAGUUCAAACCGGUGUAAGCCAGGUUGGUUUCUAUCUUAAGAUUUUUUUUAUCUAUUUAGUACGAAAGGACCAAUAGGUUCAAUUAUUAUUUGUAUUAAAUUGAAUAUAUAUU